rnacentral:rRNA from 1 species
UACAGAGGGUGCGAGCGUUGUCCGGAAUCACUGGGCGUAAAGGGCGCGUAGGUGGCGCUCCAAGUCUGUGGUGAAGGCUCGAUGCUCAACAUCGAGUCGGCCAUAGAGACUGGAGGGCUCGAGCACUGUAGGGGCAGAUGGAAUUCCGGGUGUAGCGGUGGAAUGCGUAGAGAUCCGGAAGAACACCGGUGGCGAAGGCGGUCUGCUGGGCAGUUGCUGACACUGAGGCGCGACAGCGUGGGGAGCAAACAGG